UACGUAGGGGGCAAGCGUUGUCCGGAUUUAUUGGGCGUAAAGAGCGUGUAGGCGGCCAGAUAGGUCAGCUGUGAAAACUCGAGGCUCAACCUCGAGACGUCGGUUGAAACCAUCUGGCUAGAGUCCGGAAGAGGAGAGUGGAAUUCCCGGUGUAGCGGUGAAAUGCGCAGAUAUCGGGAAGAACACCCGUGGCGAAGGCGACUCUCUGGGACGGUACUGACGCUGAGACGCGAAAGCGUGGGGAGCGAACAGG
rnacentral:rRNA from 1 species